UUGUGCCUGGAGCCUGGGAGUUUCUUUCCAUUCCAGUUCCAGACUUGAAGCAAAAUGGGGACGACGGAGGAAAGCAAGCUGCAGAGAAAGAUAAAGAGGCGAGGAUUUUGGAGAUGGGUGAUAGCCUCAGUAAUGUUCAGACUCCUUCUCGUCUACUUCCCACGUAAUCUCAAUUUGUCCUCUCGGCCUGAAGUCUCCACUCCUCUCACCGGCCUCUGUCGUUUGGCUGAGGGUUACUAGUUGAACUAAGCCUCGAUGUCUCCCUAUGGAGGAUCUAUGUACCACGGUUCUCCAUUGUUACUCUCAGUUCUCGGGCCACUUACUGUUAAAAGAUUUAGAAGGGGAAAAAAAAUCUGAUAUCAAUUGAUGCCUGGAGGCUGAAACGGCUUUUGUAAUGUUGCUUCAUUGUGUUUUGUGUGAUGGUGCAGAAUUGAAGGGCAACCCGAUCAUGUGUUAUGCAGAUAUUAUGAGUGCUAUGCUUAUUCGUGGUAUUAGUUGGAAACUACAUAUGGCAUACAGACAGAGUUUGAAAGCACUUAAUAUCAUUAAUCUACCAGAAAGCUCAGAUGCACUUGCUUCAGGAGAUAUUGCUGCUCUUAUGUGCUUGUGGAAUCCGUUCACAACAGUUGCAUGUGUGGGUUUGUCAACAUCCCCAAUUGAAAAUUUGUUCAUCAUUCUGACCCUUUAUGGAGCCUGUGCAUAUGCUCCUCCUCAGAAGUUGUUCCUGCAGAAGGGAUGUUACAAAAUUAGAGACAACAGCUCAAGUGAUGUACACUGUAAACAAGAGAAAAUGAUCAACCAAUUAAAGCCACACAUUAUUUUUUUCAUGGAGAACAGUCGUGCUUUUCUUUUCCUGGACAACUUUCUGGUCACUCUAUUUGUUGGUUCUAUGUGGUAUCUGGUAUGUCUGUCAAGCAGUAUAGUAGCCUGUGGGAGAUGUUUCAAAGAACUUAUGGUGGAAGAUAUGUCGCCAAAUAUUGGUGUUCUAUGGUAUUUCUUUGCUGAAGUUUUCAAUUUCUUCAGAAAUUUCUUUUUGAUCAUUUUCCAUAUUAAUAUUUUAUUUAUGAUAUUGCCGUUAGCCAUAAGGCUAAACCACCGACCCUGCUUCUUGGCUUUCAGCUGCAUUGCUAUCUUAUCAAUGCUUAAACCAUAUCCAUCAGUAAGUUGUUUGCUGUUGCACAGAUAUUCCAUUUUUACAAAGAUAUGCAGUUCUCUUUUUUCCUCUUUUGUGGAUAUGUUGGAGUUUCCCUCCUCAGCCCUGUGAUGCACAAUCUAUGGAUUUGGAGGGGCACCGGCAAUGCAAACUUCUACUUUGCAACUGCAAUAGCUUAUGCUUGCUUGCAGAUUAUUUUGGUGGUUGAGAAUGUUAGCACCAUGCUCAGCCAUGAUAGGAAGCUAAGGAAGCUAUCUGUCGCCAAUAUUCAAGAUGGGAAAUCUUAACAUUGAAACCGGGAUACUUAUUUUAUGAUGUGGCAUCUCUUGGCCCUUGAAAGUUCAAACCCCAAGAAAACUUUGCUGGUAAAGAGGUUUUUUUUUUUUUUUUGGUUUCAGUCCUGUUGCACAUAUUCUGGAGAGGCAUGGUUUUGUAUGAGAAGAUUAAAAUGCUGCAUUGAACAACAUAUAAUGGAAGCCAUUUUACAUUUUUUAAUGUUUUCUAAUUACAGCCUGUUAUAGUUUCUGUUG